ensembl:lncRNA
GAUGGAGAGAGAAGAGGAGAGGGGGAGUGAGAGAGAAGAGGAGAGGUGGAUGGAGAGAGAAGAGGAGAGGUGGAGUGAGAGAGAAGAGGAGAGGUGGAUGGAGAGAGAAGAGGAGAGGUGGAUGGAGAGAGAAGAGGAGAGGUGGAUGGAGAGAGAGAGAAGAGGAGAGGGAUGGAGAGAGAAGAGGAGAGGGAUGGAGAGAGAAGAGGAGAGGGGGAGUGAGAGAGAAGAGGAGAGGGAUGGAGGUGGAUGGAGAGAGAAGAGGAGAGGGGGAUGGAGAGAGAAGAGGAGAGGGAUGGAGGUGGGUGGAGAGAGAAGAGGAGAGGGGGAUGAGAGAGAAGAGGAGG